UACGUAGGGUGCGAGCGUUAGUCGGAAUUACUGGGCGUAAAGUGUGCGCAGGCGGCAAAGCAAAGUCGAGUGUGAAAGCCCCCGGGCUUAACUUGGGGAAUUGCGCUCGAAACUACUUUGCUGGAGUGUGGCAGAGGAAGGUGGAAUUCCACGUGUAGCGGUGAAAUGACGUAGAGAUGUGGAGGAACGACCGAAAUGGCGCAAAGGCGAAGG
rnacentral:rRNA from 1 species